AUACGAAGGUCCCGGGCGUUAUUCGGAAUCACUGGGCGUAAAGAGUAUGUAGGCGGUUUGGUAAGUCAGGUGUGAAAUCCCGGAGCUCAACUUCGGAACUGCAUCCGAUACUGCCAGACUAGAGUAAUGGAGAGGCAGGUGGAAUUCUCGGUGUAGCAGUGAAAUGCGUGGAUAUCGAGAGGAAGACCAAUGGCGAAGGCAGCCUGCUGGACAUUUACUGACGCUGAGAUACGAAGGCUAGGGGAGCGAAAGGGAUUAGAAACCCCAGUAGUCC
rnacentral:rRNA from 1 species